rnacentral:rRNA from 1 species
UCCNGGCCCUACGGGGCGCAGCANGCNCGAAACCUCCGCAAUGCACGCAAGUGCGACGGGGGAACCCCAAGUGCCACUCUUAACGGGGUGGCUUUUCAGAAGUGUAAAAAGCUUCUGGAAUAAGGGCUGGGCAAGACCGGUGCCAGCCGCCGCGGUAACACCGGCAGCUCAAGUGGUAGCCGCUUUUAUUGGGCCUAAAGCGUCCGUAGCCGGUCUGAUAAGUCUCUGGUGAAAUCCCGCAGCUUAACUGUGGGAAUUGCUGGAGAUACUAUCAUGACUCGAGGUCGGGAGAGGCUGGAGGUACUCCCAGGGUAGGGGUGAGAUCCUGUAAUCCUGGGAGGACCACCUGUGGCGAAGGCGUCCNGCUGGAACGAAUCUGACGGUGAGGGACGA